UGGAGAAAAAUAUGAAGGUUCCUCAAACCAGUAAAAUAGAACUACCCUAUGAUCCAGUAAUUUCACUACUAGGUAUUUACCCAAAGGUACAAAAAUAGAGAUUUGAAGGGGUACUCACACCCCAAAGUUUAUUAGAGU